UUAACUAUUAUAUAGUACUCAGACAUCACUAAACAAACGAGUUUGGGUCCUCUGACAGGCGCAGUCAGCCGGAGCCGACGCCCCGAGGGGCGGCCUGCCAAAGCAACAAAGGUAUGUAUACACGGUUUGGAAUUACCCAUUUCAAGAAACGGGGCGUUCUUUAAUGAUCCUUCCGCAGGUUCACCUACGGAAA
rnacentral:misc_RNA from 1 species